GACGAACGCUGGCGGCGUGCUUAACACAUGCCAGUCGAACGGAAAGGCCCUGCUUUUGUGGGGUGCUCGAGUGGCGAACGGGUGAGUAACACGUGAGUAACCUGCCCUUGACUUUGGGAUAACUUCAGGAAACUGGGGCUAAUACCGGAUAGGAGCUCCUGCUGCAUGGUGGGGGUUGGAAAGUUUCGGCGGUUGGGGAUGGACUUGCGGCUUAUCAGCUUGUUGGUGGGGUAGUGGCUUACCAAGGCUUUGACGGGUAGCCGGCCUGAGAGGGUGACCGGCCACAAUGGGACUGAGAGAGGGCCCAGACUGCUACGGGAGGCAGCAGUGGGGAAUAUUGCACAAUGGGCGGAAGCCUGAUGCAGCAACGCCGGGUGCGGGAUGACGGCCUGUGGGGUGUAACCCGCUUUCGCCUGUGACGAAGCGUGAGUGACGGUAAUGGGUAAAGAAGCACCGGCUAACUACGUG
rnacentral:rRNA from 1 species